UAAUGACUAAGUAACAGCUGCUUAUUUCUUUAUAAAAGUCUAUGGGAUUUUGGCUUCUUGGAACCAGCGGGUACUUAUUUGGAACUUGAUGGGGAAGGGAUCACUCAGUCUAGUUGUCAUAAACAGUCAAGGAUCCCAGCAUACAGCCAGCCCCCUAAUACGAUAAACUAACCACAAAACUGUUAAAGCCUGGCAAGACGAUGUACAGGACAACUUCGCACCCUCGGAGUGGAGUAUCCUGGAACAACAGGGUAUGGAACAGUCACUGUGUUGACUCAUAUCAAAUUCUGAACUGAUGUAGCCAAAAUAGCACAUUCACAAUAUCAGAAUAGCACAUUCAUGUCUAUCCAAACCAGAAGCCAUGGAUGACCAGUGAUGUCCAUUCAAUCCUGAAAGCUAGAGCUCUUAUUCAGGUCUGGGAGACAAAGCCCACUAUAACUGUAUGUAGCCCCUGGCCAUCAGACUAAGUGGGAACACCUGGCCCCGCCUUUAUUUUGAAAGGGUAAUUGUGUAUAUAAGCUCCAGGUCAGUGGGUGCACUUCCUGCUUGCUUCUUCCUACUUCCUGCUGGCUGCGUCCUGCUCUGAGCUCUCAGCUGUUGCUGCUGCUGUGGCCACACCAGGACGCCUAAAACACCUUCUUGAGACAUAUUUGGAAACCUCAAAUUUUCCAUUUCAUUAAACCCAAAGAGACCUGCUCAUCGGUCAGGUUUUUGUUAUAUGCUUUGAUCUACAACUUGAUGGCGAGCUACCCAAAUCUGAGAUCCUGAUACUUCCACCCUCAAUAACAACUCCUCAGCUGCAGCAAACCUCAACUACAUCCCAACCAAUAGACUUUUGGAAACCACUCAAUAGGACUCAGACCCAUAUCCCGGUUCCUUUUGUUGUUGUUUUUUUUGUAUUGUUUGAAUGUCUAUUUUCUGUUAAUACAAUCGAUUGCAUUUUACUUUCA